UCGGGAAUAUUGCACAAUGGGGGAAACCCUGAUGCAGUGAUGCCGCGUAUAGGAAGAAGGUUUUCGGAUUGUAAACUAUUGUCGACAGGGAAGAUGAAAAGACGGUACCUGUGGAGGAAGCCCCGGCUAACUACGUGCCAGCAGCCGCGGUAAUACGUAGGGGGCGAGCGUUGUCCGGAAUUAUUGGGUGUAAAGGGUGCGUAGACGGGUUACUAAGUUAGUUGUGAAAUCCCCAGGCUCAACCUGGGAACUGCAACUAAAACUGGUAGUCUUGAGUAUGGGAGAGGAAAGUGGAAUUCCUAGUGUAGCGGUGAAAUGCGUAGAGAUUAGGAGGAACACCAGUGGCGAAGGCGACUUUCUGGACCAUAACUGACGUUGAGGCACGAAAGUGUGGGGAGCAAACA
rnacentral:rRNA from 1 species